GAUGAACGCUGGCGGCGUGCUUAAUACAUGCAAGUCGAACGGUCCGCAAGGAUAGUGGCGAACGGGUGAGUAACGCGUUGGUGACCUGCCCUGGAGAGGGGGAUAACAGAUCGAAAGAUCUGCUAAUACCGCAUGAACUCUUACUAGUUAGAGAGGUAAGAGGAAAGCCGAAAGGCGCUCCAGGAGGGACCUGCGUCCCAUCAGCUAGUUGGUGAGGUAGAGGCUCACCAAGGCGAUGACGGGUAGGGACCUGAGAGGGUGGACCCCCCACAAUGGAACUGAAACACGGUCCAUACACCUACGGUGGCAGCAGUAGGGAUAUUGGUUAAUGGGGCGAAAGCCUAGACCCAGCAACGCCGA
rnacentral:rRNA from 1 species